GAGACUAAUUGGUGACUGGAGAAAGAGAGCUGCAGAAGGCUGGUCUUGCUAUCUAUGAUGAGGUACUGUAGUGUUUCUUUCUGACCAUGAGUGUGGUAGAUAGUGCUGUUCUGUGACAGUUACUUUCUGCUGUAGAAGAGUGUCUUGCUUUUCCUCAGAAGAAGGGAGCAAGGUCUGAGUGGU
rnacentral:snoRNA from 1 species